UUUUUUUUUUUUCCUCAGCCUCUUCCAGAUGUUCAUUAACUACUGUUGCCUCCAUUUAUCUAAGUUGGCACACAGAAGAAGACUGAGGUGAAAUCUUCGGGGGUCCACGAAGUGUUUGUAGUGGCCGGUUUCGUGGCAUAGUGAUCAUUAUAACAGUGAUUCAUUUCACCAAGUAUUAAGCACCUACUCUUUCCCGUAGGCCUGGCUAGGCCUAGAGAUGGAGGAAAACGUCAAAGUAAUGGAAUACAAUAUCCUUGUCUUUGAGGUAUUAACCUGCAGUAGCUGAGGGCAUAUGUCCUGUUUACCUGAAAAAACAAUUUUUUUCAAAGCAAAACAAAAAUUAAUUAUAGAGAUUUGAGGUUUGGUUAGUCUUAGAAGGUUUUGUGGACUUCAAAUUUCAUCUUAAAAGAAGUGUAGGAUUUAGAUGACUGGAAAUAGGGAAAGAAUUAUUGUUCCAGGAGAGGAAAAGCAUAAACCGAGUUUGCAUAAAGGGAACCAGUAGUGAGCCAUGGGCACAGGCAGGGUGGAAAGUUAGACGGGAAAGGUGCCUCUCCUAGAAAACUGGUUGGAAGGCUGACCAGGGACUGGGGAGUUAGGGGUUAAUCUCUCAAUCCGAUAUAUGCUAAAGAACCAUUGUGAACUCUUAAUCAGAGCAGAGGGAUAAUGGAAAUGAUGCUUCAGAAAGAAUCCACUUGUGCAGAUAAGAGGCUUUGUAAUUACCAGAGAGGAAUAGGAUAUGAAGGUUUUCAUCAGCAUCAAGAGCUGUCUGAGCUGCAGAAAAUUUCUAGCUUCUACACAAAAUGAAGGUUUAUAUAGAACAGCAGAGAGGAGAAGAAAAGGGCAUUAAAGGAUAACUUUUAAUUCCACAAAGAAUGGUAACGAAAGACUAAAGUUUCUAGCAUAGUACUAGUGACAUCGUAGGGCUUAAUAAGUAUUAUUACAGUUGUUAUUUUUAUUACCAUUUUAAGAUUAUUUUGCAUGAUGUUUUCAUAGCAAUAGAAAAUAAGAAAAUCUUACAUUUGUUAUGUGACAGCUAGGUUAGAAUCUGAUUUCUUUUUUUCCCCUUUCAACAACCCUGAGAUGUCGAUUAUCCCUUUUUUUUUAUAGUAGAAGAUACAAGGCUCAGAAUGACUAAGAAACAUACAGCUAGUGAGUGGUACAGGCUGGAUCUGGACCCAGAUGUGUCUCGCUCCAGAAUCCAUGCUUCUUCCACUCUGUCUCUGAAUUGGGAAUCAAAAGAUCUGCCAGAAGCUAAAAGAGCAAAUGUGUGAUUGAAAAACCAAUGACUGCUCUAAACUCACCUAAAGAGUCAGUGAGAAGGGAGAAUGUUUAACAGUGAAGCGCAGAAAAGGGCAGGGUCUGAGGAGCAGAACUGGGAGA
rnacentral:lncRNA from 1 species